rnacentral:misc_RNA from 1 species
UCUCCGUAGGUGAACCUGCGGAGGGAUCAUUACAGAGUUCAUGCCCUCACGGGUAGAUCUCCCACCCUGUGUUAUUAUACUUUGUUGCUUUGGCAGGCCGCCCGCGUGGGCUACCGGCUCCAGCUGGUAAGUGCCUGCCAGAGGACCCCAAACUCUGAAUAUUUUAUUGUCUGAGUACUAUAUAAUAGUUUAAAACUUUCAACAACGGAUCUCUUGGUUCUGGCAUCGAUGAGGAACGCAGC